rnacentral:rRNA from 1 species
GGAGGAAAAGAAACCAACAGGGAUUGCCCUAGUAACGGCGAGUGAAGCGGCAACAGCUCAAAUUUGAAAGCUGGCUCCGGCCCGCAUUGUAAUUUGCAGAGGAUGCUUUUGGCGAGGUGCCUUCCGAGUUCCCUGGAACGGGACGCCAUAGAGGGUGAGAGCCCCGUAUGGAUGGACACCAAACCUGUGUAAAGCUCCUUCAACGAGUCGAGUAGUUUGGGAAUGCUGCUCUAAAUGGGAGGUAAAUCUCUUCUAAAGCUAAAUACCGGCCAGAGACCGAUAGCGCACAAGUAGAGUGAUCGAAAGAUGAAAAGCACCUUGAAAAGGGGGUUAAACAGUACGUGAAAUUGUUGAAAGGGAAGCGCUUAUGACCAGACUUGCGCCGGGCAGCUCAUCAGGGGUUCUCCCCUGUGCACUCUGCCCGGCUCAGGCCAGCAUCGGUUCUCGUGGGAGGAUAAGAACAGUGGGAACGUGGCCCCCUCUCGGGGGGGUGUUAUAGCCCACUGUACGAUACUCUCGUGGGGACCGAGGUUCGCGCUCCGCAAGGAUGCUGGCGUAAUGGUCAUCAGCGACCCGUCU